rnacentral:misc_RNA from 1 species
GUUUCUGUUUUCCUGGAAAUUAUCAAUAGGAAUUACAGAAUCAGAGGAAUCCAGUUCCUGAAAAUUAUUGUUAUAGGCUGCAACGAAUUUUCUCAAUUUUGCCUAUAUGUCACUUUCCACUUUCAAAGCCUUUAAAGAAACCCUAAAGUCCUGUAAAAACCUCUCAUCAUCAUCAUCAUCAUCAUUUCUUGUUACAGAUUUCAGAUUCACUUGCAGGAAAAGUUGAGCAUUGGAUCCAUUUCAAUUUCAAAUCUUGAAUUCUGCCUGUGCAGAAAAAGUAGAAACACAACCGUUAAAAGAUUUCUCCUUUUUUGUUUUUCCUUUUUACAUAGAAACAGAAUAUGGAAAUCAUUUGCUUGCCUUUCUUUCUUGCUGCUUCUGCCCAUUAAUGGGCUUUCAGUUGCUCUAUAUACUUCAAAUUUGGUUAUUUGUUUGAUUUUCCAGUGUUACAUCUGGGUGUAUUGAAGAGGCUUCAGCCUAUUCUUCUCAUAUUAGCUUUUCUCCCUAUUGGGUUGUGCUUUGAGGGUUAAUUUCUGUGCUGCACUCUGCCAGGGAACUGUAGCUGUGUUGUGCAUAGGAAGAAGUGUAGGUCGAUGGUGCCUGAAACUGAUAUUACAGCGCUAGAAGAAGCGCUUUAUGCUCAACAAAAGCUUCUACAAAAGCUUAAUACUGAGUUGGAUGUUGAAAGAGAGGCUGCAGCCACUGCAGCUAGUGAAGCAUUAUCCAUGAUUUUGCGUUUACAAGGAGAAAAGGCUUCACUGAAGAUGGAAGCAAGUCAAUAUAAGAGGAUGGCAGAAGAAAAGAUGUGUCAUGCUGAGGAGGCUCUGGCAAUUUUUGAAGAUUUAAUAUAUCAGAGAGAAAUGGAGAUUGCAUCUCUUGAGUUUCAAGUACAGGCUUAUAGGUACAGACUCCUAAGCAUGGGUUGUAAUGACUUGGGCGUCUAUGAAAUUAAAUUUCCAGAGAAUUUAUUAAUUCAGAGAAAUGAUAAUUUGUUAGGGGACAAGUGUGUCAGUAGCAAUGUGAGGAGACUCAACUCUCAGCCUCAAGCUAUGAUCAAAGAUCCCAAUCAUAAGAAAAGUGCUAUUGAAAGAAAAAGAUCUGUGACUGCUGUUCCAGAUUCAAUUGCAAGCCCUGUGGAAGAAAAUAUGAAUCAAGAAAUUGAUGAUUCAGGGAAGAAUCUAGGGAGUACUGCAACUGUGGACCUUAAUUCAUAUUGGGAGCAGAUCAAAAAGUUGGAUGAGCGAGUGAAAGAGAUUUCAGAGAGCAAAGAUUCUGUGAGAAACAAAUCAACGAUCUGGAAAGGCGGUACCUGGUCUCCAUCUUUAUUUUCACAAGUGAGCAUUGGCACUUCUAUUGAUCCUGUGACAGAAGUAAAUAUUAAUGUCUCAGAUCAAGAAAAUUCACAGGCAAAGGAGGCUACUGAUGAUCCUGCUUGCUCUUCAAGUGUUCAGGAUGUUUUCGAAGUCCCACAGACUACUCAGAGUCAAAAACCCUGUGAGCCCUGGAAGAAAGAAUAUUGUUCAUUGACUUUGGAUGUUGGAAACAGGCAUGGAAAGCCAGAUUCAGUCACUGAGGACACUCUUGAGUCACCUAAUAAACAUGAAACAGACAGGGUAAAGGCAAUAUUACUUUCUACAAACCAUGAGAGGAAAUUAACAAAACCAAGAAAUGCAUCAAGUCUUUCGCGCUGUGUUUCGCCUGUUUUCCAAGCAGUUAAUCUAUGUAAUUCUUCAGCUGAUUAUCAACAGCUGAGUUGGAGAAUUGAUAGACUUGAGAGAGCCAGGAAUAAUGCAAGGCAAGAAAUUAUCGCUGCAGGAGAAGAGGAGUUGAAUAUAUUGAAGGAGAUUCGUGACCAACUCAAAUCCAUAGAGUUUGAGAUGAAAAGCUGUAAAGCUAAGAAAUCCCUUUUUCCAAAUGAACCAUCUCUAGAUCCUCUCCAAGAGGCCAUGUUGUACUUUUGGAUGUAAACAAUUAUAUAAUCUCAGACAGCUGCGGUUAAUCGUCUGCAAACUUUGGAUAUGUCCAUGAACAGAACUGUGUAAGAGUAUCAUUUAACUUUGGAAUUGUGUAAAUUGAUAGUACGUACAUGGAUUAGAUUUUAUUUUCCCUAUGAAAUGGUAUAUUGUUACAGAAAUUUCAUUUUCUACAUUAGUUGGUAGAAUGAACAAGUGAGUUUUAUUUGGAUUGCUUCAGGAAAGCUUGCAUAUAUGUUUUUACUCAUCAAAUAUGGAUUGCCU